UUGCGGCAUAAGUGUGUCCACCUUUGCCGUGGGUGGGCAUGCUUCCUCCUCCUCAAAUUGAAGUUUUCAUCCUCUUUGUGACCUGUUUUUGAUGAAGAACCUGCCCCAAUCUCUUUUCCACUUCUUAAGAGUAUGGCAUUUGCACUUUCAAAGCCUCCCUUCGGAUUUGGAAUGGUAGAACUAGGAAGCCUUCCUUGGUCUCUAAUCUGCCCAACAACGUCGGCA
rnacentral:lncRNA from 1 species